GACCCAGGCUGUGGAUGAGGGGCUGGUGAACAGGGGCAUGGCACCCUCUUAAGGUCACCUUUCCCCAUGGUAUGAAAACAUUCUGAAGCUCAAGGCUGAUGCCAAGUUUGGUGAGUACCCCGCUGAGUCCACAGGCCCCAGGCAGCCUUGGGACCUCGACCUGGUGCUUGGUACAGAGGGGCCCCACCACCCCUCCCAGCAGCAUCCUUAACCUGCCUUCCCUAGUGGAGAAGCAUGAGGGAAAGAAAGACAUUGACAGUCCCACCUUCCUGUUCUCUGCCAGCUCCUGGUGUAGCAGUAGUAGUGCCUGUGGCUUCAGGGGGCCUGGGAGCUUUGAGCUGAAGUUAAUAGGGCAACAGGGAGGUGGCUGGGCCCAUAGUGACAACCCCUGUCCCACCCAUGGGUCCUUCAGAGUCAGGCAAUGUGAAGGCCACAGUGGCAGUGCUGAGUUUUGUCCUCUCCAGUGCGGCCAAACACAGUGUCGAUGGUGGAUGCUUGUUCAGUGAACUGCAGCAGCUGCGGCUGCCCAAAGGUACGGGUUGUGGGUGGGCAGCUGGGCAGCCUGUGGGCCAAGGGCUGCUAGAGAGGGGGCCAGGCCCUGUGACCCUGAGGUGUAUCCUCCCCUGUCUGGACCAGGAAUUCAAGCCCAGCCCCCACCUGCUACCUCCAGAGCUACUCCGUUCUACCCCCAGAGCACGUGGCCAGCCUGUGCCAUUCUUACACUUGGGGUCUGCAACCUACGCAGAACUGAGUCCCAGAGGAGGUGCAGGUGGAGUCAUUGAAGCAACACUGCAGCUGGACCUGGGUCUGAGUCCCUGCUCCUGGCUGUGA
rnacentral:lncRNA from 10 species